AGACUUCAAUUCCCAGCAUCUCUUGCAGGCACCAUGACUCCUGCGAGGACCCAGCAUCCCCUGGCAGAUCAGACCUAUGCCUUGUCCCACAUCCCACCAGACCUGCAGUGAGAGGAGGCCGUCCGGCAGGUGGCAGAUGCCCGGCAGUGCCUGCAGAAGGUCCCUGGAGACAUCUUCAGCAGGUGGGUGCUGCCACCCAUCCCCCACCUGAUCAGAGGGCCGCCCCCUGUCCUUCUGCGGUCACCUGCGUUUAUCCUGCUUCCCUCCCACGCCCGAACCUCUUGCUCGCCUCCUCCCUCUUCUCAAUGCCCUGCGAGUAGCAAAGCCUCCUCUGGACGCCAAGAGACAGGAAGGGCUGCCCUGGGCCAUGACCCUGCCCCGCGGUGGGUGUGUGAAAGUCAGGGUGGCAGUGACGCGGCGCCUGCGGCGAGAGGAAGACUAGGCCAGGGGGAGAAGGAAGAAAGCCGACCGCUGGGCUGCUGGGAUCCCGCGCCCUCGCGCUCCCCACCGCCGCCCAGGCGCAGGAAGGGCUCAAGAGGCUGGCGGGCGGCUUGGAGAGACUUCUGGAGAAUCCGGUGCGCCGGGCUCUACCUCAAGGAGCUCAGGGCCAUCGUGCUGAACCAACAGAGGCUCGUCCGCACCCAGCGCCAGAGCAUCGACGAGCUGGAGCGGCGGCUGAACGAGCUGAGCGCCUAGAAUCGCAGCCUGUGGGAGCAUCCGCAGCUGCCGCAAGCGCAGCCUCCGCCCGGAUUCCUUACCUCGUA
rnacentral:lncRNA from 1 species